GAAGUAGGAGAUAUAGAAGGACCAUGGGAUAAAAGGUAAAUGAGAUUAGCAGUAAAGAAGAGCAGCCAAAGAAACAGAUCUGUUGAAGCAUUAAUUGGAAAGGAUGGGAGGGUUGGAGGAGGAGCACAGCUGGAUGACUACAUUAGAUUGUGGGGUAUGAGGUCUGUUGAAGCAUCAAUAGGAAAGGAUGAAAGGGAGGGAGGCAGGAAGAGGAAAACACAGAAGAGCAGAUGAGGAGCACUAUGUUCUGCUUCCAUGUGGAUUGACAGCAUUGCUUUCAUGAGCUGCUGGAGGACAUCAUGGAGGAAGAGGGUCUAUGAUAGGCAGUUUGCCAUGGCCCUAAAUGGGCCUUUGAAUGUUAAUUCUUCCUGAUUCAUAUCAUACAACUUUACAAUAAAAAUGAAAUGCAAGCAUCAGCCUUUUCUGUUUGAGUGU